rnacentral:rRNA from 1 species
CGGGGGGCUGCAGCAGUGGGGAAUAUUGCACAAUGGGCGAAAGCCUGAUGCAGCAACGCCGCGUGAGGGACGACGGCCUUCGGGUUGUAAACCUCUUUUAGCAGGGAAGAAGCGAAAGUGACGGUACCUGCAGAAAAAGCACCGGCUAACUACGUGCCAGCAGCCGCGGUAAUACGUAGGGUGCAAGCGUUGUCCGGAAUUAUUGGGCGUAAAGAGCUCGUAGGCGGUUUGUCGCGUCUGCUGUGAAAAUCCGAGGCUCAACCUCGGACCUGCAGUGGGUACGGGCAAACUAGAGUGCGGUAGGGGAGAUUGGAAUUCCUGGUGUAGCGGUGGAAUGCGCAGAUAUCAGGAGGAACACCAAUGGCGAAGGCAGAUCUCUGGGCCGUAACUGACGCUGAGGAGCGAAAGCGUGGGGAGCGAACAGGAUUAGAUACCCUCGUAGUC